rnacentral:rRNA from 1 species
ACGCACGCUGGCGGCGUGCCUCAUACAUGCAAGUUGAGCGCUGAAGGUUGGUACUUGUACCAACUGGAUGAGCAGCGAACGGGUGAGUAACGCGUGGGGAAUCUGCCUUUGAGCGGGGGACAACAUUUGGAAACGAAUGCUAAUACCGCAUAAAAACUUUAAACACAAGUUUUAAGUUUGAAAGAUGCAAUUGCAUCACUCAAAGAUGAUCCCGCGUUGUAUUAGCUAGUUGGUGAGGUAAAGGCUCACCAAGGCGAUGAUACAUAGCCGACCUGAGAGGGUGAUCGGCCACAUUGGGACUGAGACACGGCCCAAACUCCUACGGGAGGCAGCAGUAGGGAAUCUUCGGCAAUGGACGAAAGUCUGACCGAGCAACGCCGCGUGAGUGAAGAAGGUUUUCGGAUCGUAAAACUCUGUUGGUAGAGAAGAACGUUGGUGAGAGUGGAAAGCUCAUCAAGUGACGGUAACUACCCAGAAAGGGACGGCUAACUACGUG